AUAAGUACAUUGUAAAUACUAACAUUCAAUCCAUAUGUUAUAUGUAUUCGCUCAAGGCCCCAAACAGAAAGAAGCACAUCAUAAUUUUCAUACACCUGCUAGCUAAAGUUUCACCAAGAUCCACGACUCCAUAGGGACAACUCAGAUUGCAUCGCACGAUUUAUCAACUUCCUUAAAUGCUUUAUUGCCGAAGGAAAUUCAAGAUGGAACUGACAGGUUCAUGAGGAAGAAAGCAAGUAUCUCUGUUUCCAUUUCAUGUUAGCGAUACUGUCUGCAAGCUUUUGCGCUAAAGGAAAUCCAAGAUGGAACUGACAGUGCAAUUUGGACCAUCUUGAAAAAUGCACUUCCCUCUGUUCAUUUUUUUUUGUGGCCUUAGCAAACUACUAGCUCCAAUGCUAAGGAGAGCACUAACUACUAGCUCCAUUUCUACUUCAAGGAGAGCAUGACCUCAGGGCCGCAGAUAUGACUAGGCCAGGAGCUGUUAGCGUGAACACACGUCCUGUUCCACUUCUUGACUUUUGGAAGCCCUAGGGUCCAGCCCAUAUAAGACCGGAUUGUACAAUUUGUCUCUGAAAAGUGAUCUUUGUGCAUAAUUAGUUUAAAAGAAUUUUGAUGUUCCAUUUACUCUUUAGUCUUGACAUCUGCUGAUCACCAAUUGAUAUUGAGCUAUACUUUUUGAACACUUACAUUGAACAGCUGAUAUAUUGCUCUUGCUAACUUAAGCUGAUAUUUUGAUACGCUGUGCAAUAAGCAAAAGCUCAUUCUACAAUGUUGUAUAUAUUGUGCCUUGAACUAAAAAAAUAAUGCUGUACCUAUUUCUUUCAAUGUUUUCCUGGUGCAGAUAAUCCAAAAUUUGAGUUUAUGAAACAUGCUCAGGAAUGUGGUGCAAUUUUUUGGUACCUACACAAGAGUGACCCAACUUAGAUAUUAUAACAGGUACUCCCUCCGUCCAACAAAGGAUGUCUCAAGUUUGUCAAAAUUUGGAUGUAUCUAGACAUGACUUAGUGUAUAGAUGCAUUCAAAUUUGGUCAAAGUUGAGACAUCCUUUGCUGGACGGAGGGAGUAUAUUACAAUGAGAUUUAUGUUUUUUUUUUUACUUUUUAUCAUGUAGAUAAAGUCUAGCAGUGGUUGACACCUCUUUUUUUGUGUGCUUAUGAUGCACGUCUUAGAUUACUUUUUAUCAUCCAGGUAAGAAAAAGUAGUUGAAUGGAAGGUAGGUAUUUACAUUUUACCUUUUAGAUUUUAUCUGUCCGUGUACAGAAGGUAAAAGAUGACCUGAAGCUUUUUGUUAUUGGGGGGAAACUUCAUUGGAUGUGUUUUCACAUUUGUAGGAGGCCUACUGCAGCUGCACGUUCACCUGUAGCUGUAGCACAGUAGUAGUGAAACUGAAACAAUAACAAUACUGCUGUCUAUCCUAUUGUGCAUACUGCUGCCCUUCCUCUGUUUUGGUUACUCAGGCUGCUCUCACUCCCCUCUCUCCCCUCGUCGUGGUGGCUCGUUCUGGCGGCAUCCUCUCCAGCUGCCCUUCCUCGGUGCCACGGAUACUUGUCUUCAGCCACACAAUGGAGGGGAGCUGCGGGGAUAGACGCAAGGCAAGAAUCUUGUCGAAGAUCUUGGAGAACCCGUGGAUCAAGCUGAUCGGUCAAAAUUCCUAAGUGUCAAGGGGGGUUCUCUUUCGUAGGGAGCAGAAUUAGCAUGGAACCAUUAAGUCGCCUGAAAUUCUGAAAAUUUCCUUGGUGAAGAAGGUUCAGGGCCGCCAAGACAUCUUCAGCAAUGACCUCCCAACAUAGUUUAAACAAAAGCCUGGAGAAGCUGUUUGGUCCUGGGGCACGACCAGAAGGCAUCACCGAAAUAGCAUUCUUUACUCCGUCAUGGGAAAAAGGAGCUUCCAGAGCAUUGGCAUGAAAAGCAGGCACCGAGGGGAUCUCAAUUUCAUCAAGGUUGAGACGGCAAUAUCUACAGGGGGAUAUAUGCCUUCAAAAUAUUCUUGGGUGAGCUCGAGCUUUUCAUCA